CCCGCCCUGCCUCCUGCGUGCGGCCGGGCCGAGCCCCUCGGGCUGCUCUUUAAACGUCGCGCGUGAGGGGAGGCGGGGCCAGGGGCCAGCCUGAGGGGUUAGCACCGUGCCGGCCUUCUCGAAUUUGCGGAGGCGCGCGCGGGGCUUGAGGCGUCUCCCGCUCGGACUCUCCGCAGGAGCCGCGGCUAUGGGGCCGCCCAUAAACUAGGAUUUCUCAAGCUUUUGGAGCUGAUGAACCUUGGGGGGGAUUAUGAAACAUUCCAUAAUCUGUCCAGACCUCCACUAAACAUGAGCAGAAGACUACAUAAGCUGUGAUCUGCAAGAGCAUUUACACCAAUUACAAAGCCAUUGAGAAAUCAGAGCACAAGACGCUGUUUCAGGUAUUGGUGACAGCCAGAAGCAGGAUGUCUGACCUGAUAAACAUUGUGCCACAGAAAACACAGGGUCCUGGAAAUUGAUAUGGAUUGAAACCUAUUCCGCACUGGAGCAAUGUUUCUGUAAGACCACUGAAAUUAAUUUCAGUUUUGUACUUGAAAAAAAGCACCCUCUCAUUUGUGCCCACCUAAAUUCUAUGACAUAUGCAGCUCUUUUGAAUACUUUAAUUUCUUCAUUCUGCACAUACUUAACAUUGUAUUUGUCUGAACUGUAUCCAGGAUACUGUCUUUAGCCUCUUUUCUUCCCACUCCCGUUGAUAUUGGUUUUGUUUCCUCAAGUCUAAAAAUGUCAACUAGACAUUAAAAUUAUGUUGGUUUGCACUACUGAAAUAGUGUUUUGAAAAGAAUAUUGAAGAGUUAAUGUCACGGGAUAGCAUGCUGCAGAGGAGCUCAGAAAUUUUGCAUAGUGUGGACUACCUCCCCAUCCACUGGUGAGCACGCAGACCAUUUCUUCCCAGAUUGGUGUUUGUUACACCCUUUGUGACAGCUGCAGCAAUUGCUUACAUGGGAAAGAGACGUUAGGAAGAAUUCAAAAUAUUUGAAGCUUCUUUUAAAGCAAUAUAGCACAUGCAGAGGAGACGCCUAUAUGUCAGCCCACUUGCUGCUGACCACUACAGAGGGCUGCUGCUGAUCCACAGACCAACUUACUGUAUUGUAAAUAAACAAUUUCACAUAGGGAGUGGGAGGUUGCCAUGUUUUAAAGAUAAAAAGCUAGUGUUGCUUAAUAUACAACUUGUUUAUGGUCACAGUAAUGAUAGCUGUACAAAUAGCUCUUGUAAAAUGCUUUUUAUCUGUAGAUCUCAAAGCUCUGUCUAUACUAGUACUCAGUUUUUACCUGUUCAGAGCAAGGUUUUGGAUAUGGUAGUAAACAUGCCUGAGCCAUUUCUGCACCAGUUCUCUCACUGUCAGGAGCUGAAAAAUAGGAGCUACUGUAGACCCUGACAGUCAGCAUUUUAUUCUUCACUCCGCUAUUAGUUGCAUGCAUGGAUCUAAACCUAAUGUUGUGAAACAGAGUUUGACCUGUUAAAUGGUAUUGCAAGUAUCCACGAUUCCAGUAUCCAGCUGCUGGCUGUAUUUCCCUUACUUAAGUUAGCAGCAGAAGAGUGGGUGCAGAAAAAGAUGCUCCGCACAGUGAUGUGUAACUACAUUGACUGGAAUUCAGAAGUGAACUAGUGAGUUGUACAAAGGCAUCAUCAAAAAGCUGAAGUCAAACACAUGCUUGAAAACCACCAAAUAUGAAGGGGAGCAUGUUUGUUCCAUGCAAAAAUCUUAAAAUAAAAUUAUUGCUUUUAUUUUUAUGAAGCAAACUUUUGUAGGCUGCUCAACCAUUUCUGCUAAUCUUAUGGCUACUCUAGGCUGUGCUAUUAUGAGAAAGCUUGGCAUUAUGUUUGUGGAAAUAGAACAUGAAGUCUCAGGACAUGCCAGUGAUGUAUUGAUAAGUAAAGGUAAGAUGCUUGAUGCAAACUUUUCACCUUUUUGCAAGGUGACUGCAGAAUUCAAAGAGCAGCAUAAGAAAGCGCAGACUGUAUGGUGUAGAUCGGUCAGUGGUGAAUGAUGGGCAGAUUGGUCUAAAAGUAAGACUACAAAUUAUGGGGGAGAUUUUCAAAAACACAAAUGGGAGUUUGGUACCCUGUGUGAUUUUGAAAAUCUCCCUCUGUUUUUACUAUAGAAGAACCCACUUCUUUUUGGUACAACACUAGCCAGAAGAUAGUUUGUGUUAAAUUAAGAGAAAGUGACAUUUUAGGCAACUGUAAUGCGAAGACUUUAAGGACCGCAUUGUUCUAGUCAGUCUGUACAGCUCAGUGAUAAAGAAAUGCUUGUUUUGGAAAAGAUUUUGACCUCAUUACUUUAUGCAACUGGUACGCUAAUGAAAGAGCAUGGAGAACUUUUGGGAACUGAUUAAAGGAGUUUGACUGCUCCAUGGGUAUUGCAAAACAUGAUGAUUUUAUAGCUUGAUAAUGCAUCAGCUCCCUCCCAGGUACUGAGGCUCAGAAAUGUGAAGAUGCACUUUUUACUACUUCACACCACCUUCAAGACUUAGCCACCUGAUGGUCAAACAAUUCAAAAUUUGAUAGCGCUGUAUCAUUGCCAACAGUUGCAAUACUGGGCCAAAGUCAAAUGCAAUUUAAUUAUUGGAGUAAAAUAGUCAUACUAUUUUUGCACUCACACCAUUGUAUAACUUCUAUUGAUUGGACGUUCAUAGAGGCUUGAUUCUGAUGUCAUGUGCACAGGUUUUAUACCUGUGUAAUUUCACUGCAUCCAUUUCAGUGGCACUACUCCUGAUUUACAAAAGCAUGUGAGAUCAGAAUUAUAUCCCCUGUGCAAAAAGGUACUCACCAGAAGAGAGUCAGUCAUUUUGCCCACCCACUUAAUGUCAAAUUGGUGCAAAUUACAUAUUUAAAAUAAAUUAUGGUUAGCAAGAGCAGGACUUUACAUUUUCAUUAGAUAAUUAACCUUCAUGGAACAGAUCCUCAGCUAGGCUAAGUUUGUGAUAGUUUGAGUGGCUUUGCUUGAGCUGUCACAAUUCAAUCCAACUGAGAAUCUGUGUGGAGUUUUGGCCCCAAAGGAGUAUUUUUCUGGAAAAAUUAUUUGUAUCUAAAAAUGGAGCUAUAUAAUGGAAACAAUUUUACAGUCUUAAUUAGGGCUUUUGCUUCAAUAAUAUAAUACAAAAUAUAGUUAACUGGAUUGUGCAAGCCUAGGGUAAUUGCUAGAGAUCUGGGAAUGUGAUGAGGUAUACAAACCUCACACUGGGCAAGCCCAGUAGCCCUGCCUCUUUAGAUCUGCAGAGCAUGCUCUAAAGAGAGGAAGCUUAAAUGCACCUCAGUCAGGGACGAAGACAGACCUACUCUGAGGGCUCCUGGACAAGGCUGCUGAAGAAGCCUCACCGAGAGGAAUAGAAGUGCAUGCUGAGCUGAAGGUUUGGUUAUCUUUUCUUUUGUUACCUUGUAUUGGACUUAGAGCCCUGGAAGAGAGACAGAUGGUAGGAAGGGUAACUCUGGUGCCAGACACGGUUGACUUACAUAGGGCCCUGAGUCUGAGCCUGCUGGAGGGGCAUAAGCCAUAUUUCAAUCUCACUCCCCCUUUGAUAAGAAGAGGGUGAGGACAUUGCAACCUGAGGUGAAGCUACACCUCAGGUGAGGAACUGGACUGAAAGGCCUUCCUGCUGAUAGGUGAUACUGGGUGCACCUUACCCUCCAUUACAUGGAGGAUUCCACUAAGUGGGACUCAUUUAAUUUUGAAGUGUGUAAAAAGAAUUAACCUCAUGCAGGUUAAGGAAAGGUAUUGUAAAUAAAUACCAGUCUUUAGAGAAACUUACAUCUCAGUCCUUUGUUAGCAUUCCACUUCAUAGUGUAAGAGAAUAUCAAGGCAGGAGAAGUUUACCAAAAUGUAAAUAUAUUCCAAUGUUCACCUGCUUGUUUUGCUUAAUAUUUAAUUACAAGGAUUUCCCUAAGGUAGCAAAUAGGCCUGCUUAAUUUGAUACUUUGAAGUCCAGUAAGUAUUUUGACAGUUAUGUGCAAUCAGGACAGGCCAUGGAUUAACAUAACAUCUCUUAAAAAGAAAACCAGGUUGUUUCAGCCAAAAAGGUCUCUGCAGACUUAUAACACAAGUAUUUAAUGUUUCUGCUGAACACCCGCAUAAGGACAUGACAUCAAGUUGCUGGCAUUUUUAAUUAUUAGAAAUGAUGCAUUUUAAAAUAAAGAAAAAGUUGAAUAAGUCCAAUUUGAUAUUUAUAAACAGUAAACAAACCAAAAAAAGAGGGUGAAAGGACUUCGUUUCUUGCCUCAUUUAGAAUAUUGUUAAUAUAGCAGGUCUCUAAUUAAUGUAAUAUUACAUAUCUUAUCUAACUGUGAUUUAAGGUAAUACCAGUAUGAUUUGAUUUGUCCCUCAAGGACUACUGAAAAUUAAGAACCAAUAGCAGUGCAUGUUGUGUUAGCCGCAAGACUUAUAAUUAUUAAUCCAGCCAAUAACUGAUUUUUUUUAUGAUGUAUGCAUGCAAGUAUAAAAUGAAAAAUAUACCUAACUGUAGAAUGUAGCAGUCCUAUGUGGCAUAUCCUUAGCCCUUGUCAAUGCUUAAUUUAUUUUUAAUACAUAUGCCUUUACUAUGUAAAAUCAGACAAUUGUUUAAAAAAAAUCCUUUACUUCCAGAAUAG